GAUGAACGUUGGCUACAGGCUUAACACAUGCAAGUCGAGGGGAAACGACGGGGAAGCUUGCUUCCUCGGGCGUCGACCGGCGCACGGGUGAGUAACGCGUAUCCAACCUGCCUCUGACUGAGGGAUAACCCGUCGAAAGUCGGCCUAAUACCUCAUGGCAUCGUCUGCGGGCAUCCAACGACGAUUAAAGAUUUCAUCGGUCAGAGAUGGGGAUGCGUCUGAUUAGCUGGUUGGCGGGGUAACGGCCCACCAAGGCGACGAUCAGUAGGGGUUCUGAGAGGAAGGUCCCCCACAUUGGAACUGAGACACGGUCCAAACUCCUACGGGAGGCAGCAGUGAGGAAUAUUGGUCAAUGGGCGAGAGCCUGAACCAGCCAAGUAGCGUGCAGGAUGACGGCCCUAUGGGUUGUAAACUGCUUUUAUGCGGGGAUAAAGUGAGGGACGUGUCCUUCAUUGCAGGUACCGCAUGAAUAAGG
rnacentral:rRNA from 1 species